rnacentral:rRNA from 1 species
AUUGAACGCUGGCGGCAGUCCUAACACAUGCAAGUCGAGCGAGCGGCGGACGGGUUAGUAAUGUAUGGGGACGGCCCGAUAGAGGGGGAUCACUACCGGAAACGCUGGCUAAUACCGUAUUCUAUAGGAUAACCCAUAUGGGAUUAGCUAGUAGGUGGGGUAUAGGAUCACCUAGGCGACGAUCUCUAGCUGGUCUGAGAGGAUGAUCAGCAACACUGGGACUGAGACACGGCCCAGACUCGUACGGAGGCAGAAGUGGGGAAUAUUGCACGAUGGGCGCAAGCCGGAUACAGCCAUGCCGCGUGUAUGAAGAAGGACUUAGGGUUGUAAAGUACUUUAAGCGGGGAGGCGUUACCAGCAGAAGAAGCACCGGCUAACUCCGUGCAAGCAGCCGCGGUAAUUC